rnacentral:rRNA from 1 species
CACCGCGGUUAGACGAGGAGGCCCAAGUUGACAGAGAGCGGCGUAAAGGGUGGCCGAGGGUAUAAACAGCUAGAGUCGAACUCUUCCCUGCACCGUCAUACGAAACCUGGAAGAAAGAAGCCCAAUCACGAAAGUGACUCUAUUCAACCUGCAACCACGACAACUAAGGAA